rnacentral:rRNA from 1 species
AUUGAACGCUGGCGGUAGGCCUAACACAUGCAAGUCGAACGCGAAAGUCCUUCGGAGUGAGUAGAGUGGCGGACGGGUGGAGUAACGCGUAGGAAUCUAUCCUGUAGUGGGGGAGUAACGUUUCGUAAAGGAACGCUAAUACCGCAUACGCCCCAACGGGGAAAGCGGGGAGUCUUCGGACCUCGUGCUAUAGGAGGAGCCUGCGUCGGAUUAGCUAGUUGGUGAGGUAAAGGCUCACCAAGGCGACGAUCCGUAGCUGGUCUGAGAGGAUGAUCAGCCACACCGGAACUGAGACACGGUCCGGACUCCUACGGGAGGCAGCAGUGGGGAAUAUUGCGCAAUGGGCGAAAGCCUGACGCAGCCAUACCGCGUGUGUGAAGAAGGCC